AUUUCAAGCUGUGAUGGGGAGGCCUUCUGGCCGAAGUUCCUGAUUUCACACUGCCGAGAAAAGCCUCUAGCAAGGUCACAGGUGCCCGUACCGCAAACCGACACAGGUAGGCGAGGAGAGAAUCCUAAGGUGAGCGGGAGAACUCUCGUUAAGGAACUCGGCAAAAUGACCCCGUAACUUAGGGAGAAGGGGUGCUCUACGGAGUAGAGCCGCAGUGAAUAGGCCCAAGCGACUGUUUAGCAAAAACACAGGUCUCUGCGAAGCCGAAAGGCGAAGUAUAGGGGCUGACACCUGCCCGGUGCUGGAAGGUUAAGGGGAAGAGUUAGGGCUUUCGCCCGAAGCUUAGAACCGAAGCCCCAGUAAACGGCGGCCGUAACUAUAACGGUCCUAAGGUAGCGAAAUUCCUUGUCGGGUAAGUUCCGACCCGCACGAAAGGUGCAACGACUUGGGCACUGUCUCAACGAGAGACCCGGUGAAAUUAUACGAUGCGUGAAGAUGCGCAUUACCCGCGACAGGACGGAAAGACCCCGUGGAGCUUUACUGUAGCCUGAUAUUGAAUGUCUGUGCAGCUUGUACAGGAUAGGUGGGAGCCUUAGAAACGUGAGCGCCAGCUUACGUGGAGGCAUCCGUGGGAUACCACCCUGACUGUAUGGACCUUCUAACCCAGGACCGUGAUCCGGUUCGGAGACAGUGUCAGGCGGGCAGUUUGACUGGGGCGGUCGCCUCCCAAAAGGUAACGGAGGCGCCCAAAGGUUCCCUCAGAAUGGUUGGAAAUCAUUCGCAGAGUGUAAAGGCAGAAGGGAGCUUGACUGCAAGACCUACAAGUCGAGCAGGGACGAAAGUCGGGCUUAGUGAUCCGGUGGUUCCGCAUGGAAGGGCCAUCGCUCAACGGAUAAAAGCUACCCCGGGGAUAACAGGCUUAUCUCCCCCAAGAGUUCACAUCGACGGGGAGGUUUGGCACCUCGAUGUCGGCUCAUCGCAUCCUGGGGCUGUAGUCGGUCCCAAGGGUUGGGCUGUUCGCCCAUUAAAGCGGUACGCGAG
rnacentral:rRNA from 1 species